CUUCACUGAAUCACUGACAUAAUUUCUCAAAUCAAAUAUGAACGGAUCUGUAUAAUGCAGACAUUAUCUAUUUCUUUGCAGUUCACAGAUACAGGCAGUGGGGAUUAUUAUGUACACAUAUUUUUCUGCCCCUUGCAAUAAGAUUGCAAGUUGCAUCCUGAGGUGGCAAUUGGAAAGAGGAAAGUGUGCAAAACAGAGAUCUAGAAAGGGCUCAGAGCUUUCUCCUGGCUACCCAGAAGAUGAGGCUGGAACUGGAUGAGGACAGUUCAUCCCUGUCAAGAGCACAAGUGAAGUACCAGCUAUUAGGCCAACAAUACUCCGGUGCAGAAGAGGAUCAGGCUACAGGAUGAAACUGAUUUCUUUUAAACUAC
rnacentral:lncRNA from 1 species